UACGUAGGGUGCAAGCGUUAAUCGGAAUUACUGGGCGUAAAGCGUGCGCAGGCGGUUUUGUAAGUCUGACGUGAAAUCCCCGGGCUCAACCUGGGAAUUGCGAUGGAGACUGCAAGGCUUGAAUCUGGCAGAGGGGGGUAGAAUUCCAUGUGUAGCAGUGAAAUGCGUAGAGAUGUGGAGGAACACCGAUGGCGAAGGCAGCCCCCUGGGUCAAGAUUGACGCUCAUGCACGAAAGCGUGGGGAGCAAACAGG
rnacentral:rRNA from 1 species